rnacentral:rRNA from 1 species
AUGUGGUUUAAUUCGAAUCGCAACGCGAAGAACCUUACCUGGGCUUGACAUCCCGGGAAUCCCUUGGAAACAAGGGAGUGCCUUCGGGGAACCAGGAGACAGGUGCUGCAUGGCUGUCGUCAGCUCGUGUCGUGAGAUGUUGGGUUAAGUCCCGCAACGAGCGCAACCCUUAUCCUUUAAUUGCCAGCAUUCAGUUGGGCACUUUAAAGAGACUGCCGGUGUUAAACCGGAGGAAGGUGGGAUGACGUCAAGUCCUCAUGGCCUUUAUGCUUAGGGCUACACACGUGCUACAAUGGGUGGUACAAAGAGAAGCCAACUCGCGAGAGCGCGCCAAUCUCAAAAAGCCAUCCUCAGUUCGGAUUGGAGUCUGCAACUCGACUCCAUGAAGUUGGAAUCGCUAGUAAUCGCGGAUCAGCAUGCCGCGGUCGAAUACGUUCCCGGGCCUU